rnacentral:tRNA from 1 species
GUUGGGGACGUAGCUCAGUGGUCGAGCACUUGCCUAGUAUGUGCAAGGCCCUGGGUUCCAUCCCUAGGACCACAACA